AUGGAAAGAGCUAGUACAAUCACAUAUUUGAAAGGAGAAACAAUAGGUACUGAACCGGAGGGAAAGGGCGAGGGUGAGUGUGCCAGCACCGGCCUGGUGAAUCCACGAUUCGAUUUCCCAUCCAAGGUAAGUUUCCCAAAAUACCGUAUAAACAAGCUGCACAUUACACCUCUAGCCAUCGUCUGCCCUUUCAAAUAUCUGGUCUACAUGGAAAGACAAAGAGGAAAGGCCAAAACAUAAACAAAAGGAAACAAAAACAAAACACAACCCUCUCAGGAACCAAACAAAACCCCCAAAUCCUUUUUUACUACACAAGGCAUGAGGUCAAAAGCUUGAGUACAGUGUCCCCUUUAGAUCACGGGAGAAAGGCGUCCACACAGAGCCUUAGCAGGAAUUUCCACUCUGAGGCUUCAGAACAUGCUGAAGAUGGGGCUCUGAGGGUGCCACUACCAUCCUGGAGGCCACCAAGUGGGGUGGAAACAGUGAAGAGCAGGUCUCACAUGCCCGAAGACCACCAGCCAACUACACAUUGGUGGCCCUGGUGGAGCAUGGCUGGGCGACAGCGUCCAUCCCCAACACUGAGCCACUCCUGUCCUGGAUGACUUCCUGCUUAGGUCCGUCACAUUUCAGAAGAGAGCUGGCUUUCUGGAAGCCUACGUUUCCCAUUCAUCACAGAACACGACAGAGUGCACACAUCCUGGUAUCCUUGGUCUUCAAAGGCCAUUUCCAGCAGACCCUCUAA
rnacentral:lncRNA from 1 species